rnacentral:rRNA from 1 species
CAGUCGCCGCGGUAAUACCGAGGGUGCGAGCGUUAAUCGGAUUUACUGGGCGUAAAGCGUGCGUAGGCGGCUAAUUGAGUCGGAUGUGAAAUCCCCGAGCUUAACUUGGGAAUUGCAUUCGAUACUGGUUAGCUAGAGUGUGGGAGAGGAUGGUAGAAUUCCAGGUGUAGCGGUGAAAUGCGUAGAGAUCUGGAGGAAUACCGAUGGCGAAGGCAGCCAUCUGGCCUAACACUGACGCUGAGGUACGAAAGCAUGGGGAGCAAACAGGAUUAGAUACCCCUGUAGUCCCUGUCUCUUAUAC